CGCGUAGGUGGUUAGGUAAGCGAGAUGUGAAAGCCCCGGGCUUAACCUGGGAACGGCAUUUCGAACUGUCUGACUAGAGUAUGGUAGAGGGUAGUGGAAUUUCCUGUGUAGCGGUGAAAUGCGUAGAUAUAGGAAGGAACACCAGUGGCGAAGGCGGCUACCUGGACCAAUACUGACACUGAGGUGCGAAAGCGUGAGGAGCAAACA
rnacentral:rRNA from 1 species